rnacentral:rRNA from 1 species
CAGCCGCCACGGGAAUACAGAGGGUGCGAGCGUUAAUCGGAUUUACUGGGCGUAAAGCGUGCGUAGGCGGCUUCUUAAGUCGGAUGUGAAAUCCCUGAGCUUAACUUAGGAAUUGCAUUCGAUACUGGGAAGCUAGAGUAUGGGAGAGGAUGGUAGAAUUCCAGGUGUAGCGGUGAAAUGCGUAGAGAUCUGGAGGAAUACCGAUGGCGAAGGCAGCCAUCUGGCCUAAUACCGACGCUGAGGUACGAAAGCAUGGGGAGCAAACAGGAUUAGAUACCCCGGUAGUCCCUGUCUCUUAUAC